AGUAUCAUUAAGUGAAUACAUAGCUUAAUGAGGGGAACUCAGGGAACUGAAACAUCUAAGUACCUGAAGGAAGAGAAAGAAAUUCGAUUCCGUAAGUAGCGGCGAGCGAACGCGGAUUAGCCCACACCAAUAAAGUUUUCUUUAUUGGGGUUGCGGACAUAUCAUAACGAAGAGGUAUCGUAAUUGAAGAGGUUUGGAAAGACCCACCACAGAAGGUAAUAGUCCUGUAUGUUAAACGAGAAGACUUUAGAUAUGAUCCAGAGUACCACGGGACACGUGAAACCCUGUGGGAAGCAGGAGGGACCACCCUCCAAGGCUAAAUACUACCUAGUGACCGAUAGCGUAUAGUACCGUGAGGGAAAGGUGAAAAGAACCCCGGGAGGGGAGUGAAAUAGAACCUGAAACCCUGCACUUACAAGCUGUGGAAGCACAUUUCUUGUGUGACCGCGUACUUUUUGUAGAACGGGCCAACGAGUUACGUUAAGUAGCAAGGUUAAGCACUUAAGGUGCGGAGCCGUAGCGAAAGCGAGUUUUAACUGAGCGUUCAGUUACUUGACGUAGACCCGAAACCGGGCGACCUACCCAGGAGCAGGAUGAAGCGAAAGUAAAAUUUCGUGGAGGUCCGAACCCACGAGCGUUGAAAAGCUCGGGGAUGACUUGUGGGUAGCGGUGAAAUUCCAAUCGAGCCCGGAGAUAGCUGGUUCUCCCCGAAAUAGCUUUAGGGCUAGCCUCAAGGUGAGAGAUACGGAGGUAGAGCACUGAAUGUCCUAGGGGGUAUUGCACCUACCGAAGACUAUCAAACUCCGAAUGCCGUCAUCUUAUACUUGGGAGUCAGACUGUGGGUGAUAAGAUUCAUAGUCGAAAGGGCAACAGCCCAGAUCGUCAGCUAAGGUCCCUAAAUGUAAGUUAAGUGGUAAAGGAUGUGGGAUUGCACAGACAACCAGGAUGUUGGCUUAGAAGCAGCCACUCAUUCAAAGAGUGCGUAAUAGCUCACUGGUCGAGUGAUCCUGCGCCGAAGAUUUCCGGGGCUAAAACUUACUACCGAAGCUACGGCAUCAGUAAUGAUGGGUAGGGGAGCUUCCCAUACGGGUUGAAGCAUGACCGUAAGGACAUGUGGACAGUAUGGGAGUGAGAAUGUUGGCAUGAGUAGCGAGAUGUGGGUGAGAAUCCCACAGGCCGUAAACCCAAGGUUUCCAGGGGAAGGUUCGUCCGCCCUGGGUUAGUCGGGACCUAAGCUGAGGCCGAAAGGCGUAGGUGAUGGACAACAGGUUGAUAUUCCUGUACUACCGAU
rnacentral:rRNA from 1 species